UAAUGCCCGCUUGUUUCGGGUGUCCCGGCAGUGCGUCGCCGGGAUGAAACGGGAAGCCGGUGCGUCGCGCGUUCGCGCGCAACCAGUCCGGCGCUGCCCCCGCAACGGUAGGCGAGUGAAUCGCCGGGCCACACAAGCCACUGUGCCUAGGCAUGGGAAGGCGUGGUCCGGAACAUGCGGCUCCCCGCAUGUCGCUCGCAAGCCCGGAGACCGGCCCGAUUCGACUGUCCUGG
rnacentral:ncRNA from 2 species